rnacentral:rRNA from 1 species
CCUACGGGAGGCAGCAGUGGGGAAUAUUGGGCAAUGGGCGCAAGCCUGACCCAGCAACGCCGCGUGAAGGAAGAAGGCUCUCGGGUUGUAAACUUCUUUGAUCAGGGACGAAGAAAGUGACGGUACCUGAUGAAUAAGCCACGGCUAACUACGUGCCAGAAGCCGCGGUAAUACGUAGGUGGCAAGCGUUAUCCGGAUUUAAUGGGGGUAAAGGUCGUGUAGGCGGGAAAGCAAGUCAGAUGUGAAAACCAUGGGCUCAACCUGUGGCCUGCAUUUGAAACUGUUUUUCUUGAGUACUGGAUAGGCAGACGGAAUUCCUAUUGUAGCGGUGAAAUGCGUCGAUAUUAGGAGGAACACCAGUGGCGAAGGCGUUCUGCUGGACAGCAACUGCCGCUGAGGCGCGAAAGCGUGGGGAGCGAACAGGAUUAGAUACCCCUGUAGUC